rnacentral:snRNA from 1 species
ACCUUGUCGUAACCGGCAAUAUCGUAACCAAUGAAGGCCUCCUGAGGUGCGAUUAUUGCUAGUUGAAAUAAAAAAUGUAAUAGAAUUCUAAAAACUAUUCCACUAAAUACAGGAAGAAAUAUUACGUUUUGCGGAAAUCUCAAAUAGAGUUCAUAAACA